AUUGAACGCUGGCGGCAGGCCUAACACAUGCAAGUCGAACGGUAACAGAAAGCAGCUUGCUGCUUUGCUGACGAGUGGCGGACGGGUGAGUAAUGUCUGGGAAACUGCCUGAUGGAGGGGGAUAACUACUGGAAACGGUAGCUAAUACCGCAUAACGUCGCAAGACCAAAGAGGGGGACCUUCGGGCCUCUUGCCAUCGGAUGUGCCCAGAUGGGAUUAGCUAGUAGGUGGGGUAAAGGCUCACCUAGGCGACGAUCCCUAGCUGGUCUGAGAGGAUGACCAGCCACACUGGAACUGGGACACGGUCCAGACUCCUACGGGAGGCAGCAGUGGGGAAUAUUGCACAAUGGGCGGAAGCCUGAUGCAGCCAUGCCGCGUGUAUGAAGAAGGCCUUCGGGUUGUAAAGUACCUUCAGCGGGGAGGAAGGGAGUAAAGUUAAUACCUUUGCUCAUUGACGUUACCCGCAGAAGAAGCACCGGCUAACUCCGUG
rnacentral:rRNA from 1 species